rnacentral:rRNA from 1 species
AGUGAACGCUGGCGGUAGGCCUAACGCAUGCAAGUCGAACGGCAGCACAGUAAGAGCUUGCUCUUACGGGUGGCGAGUGGCGGACGGGUGAGGAAUACAUCGGAAUCUACUUUUUCGUGGGGGAUAACGUAGGGAAACUUACGCUAAUACCGCAUACGACCUACGGGUGAAAGCAGGGGAUCUUCGGACCUUGCGCGAUUGAAUGAGCCGAUGUCGGAUUGGCUAGUUGGCGGGGUAAAGGCCCACCAAGGCGACGAUCCGUAGCUGGUCUGAGAGGAUGAUCAGCCACACUGGAACUGAGACACGGUCCAGACUCCUACGGGAGGCAGCAGUGGGGAAUAUUGGACAAUGGGCGCAAGCCUGAUCCAGCCAUACCGCGUGGGUGAAGAAGGCCUUCGGGUUGUAAAGCCCUUUUGUUGGGAAAGAAAAGCAGCAGGUUAAUACCCCGCUGUUCUGACGGUACCCAAAGAAUAAGCACCGGCUAACUUCGUG